AUUGAACGCUGGCGGCAUGCUUUACACAUGCAAGUCGAACGGCAGCGCGGGGCAACCUGGCGGCGAGUGGCGCACGGGUGCGUAAUAUAUCGGAACGUACCCAGAAGUGGGGGAUAACGUAGCGAAAGUUACGCUAAUACCGCAUACGAUCUACGGAUGAAAGUAGGGGACCGCAAGGCCUUAUGCUUUUGGAGCGGCCGAUAUCUGAUUAGCUAGUUGGUGAGGUAAAGGCUCACCAAGGCGACGAUCAGUAGCUGGUCUGAGAGGACGACCAGCCACACUGGAACUGAGACACGGUCCAGACUCCUACGGGAGGCAGCAGUGGGGAAUUUUGGACAAUGGGCGCAAGCCUGAUCCAGCAAUGCCGCGUGAGUGAAGAAGGCCUUCGGGUUGUAAAGCUCUUUUGUCAGGGAAGAAACGGUAGAGGCUAAUAUCCUGUGCUAAUGACGGUACCUGAAGAAUAAGCACCGGCUAACUACGUG
rnacentral:rRNA from 1 species